UUUGAAAACCAGUCGCCUUCCAUCUUUGCUCUUGUAGCAAAUGCUAUUACCUGCUGCAGGAACAGUUUCUCUGUGCAGGCUGCAGGCUUCCUGUUCCUGUGCCAGUCAUGAACCCACAUUGUCUGGCACUGCAGAGCCACCAAUAGGGCUGAGGAGGAAGGAGCUAACACGGAGGAGGAAAGGAGUGCACAAACAAGCAAACCCAAAUCUAAUCACUCACAUACCCUCACAAGUAGUGGACAGACUUGAGGAUUACUUGCCCUUUUCUCUUAAGUGGGAGCUUAGAGACCACCAUCCACAGUCUAAGUUAAACCAACAUGGAAGAAAUCCUCAUCCCUUUGCUGUUAUUAACUCUGAGUCCUGCAUGUGUCCUCUGUAUCUGUGCUAAGUCAUCCUUUAUUAACUGAGACUCAUGUUGGACUAUGCAAAAAUAGGCUGCUGAAGAAUCACAGUUAGUGUACGUUAGAGACCUGCAGAGAGCUCUGUGUAACUUACAAGCUUGUCUCUUUCACCAUCCAAAGUUGGACCAAUAAAAGAUGUAGACCAACAUGGCUACAAUAAUACUGCAAACACAUAGAGUAAGUCAUAUGCAAUUAAAAUAAAGACAUCUGGAUUUUUAUUAAUAGCUUGUAAUGUAGGACACUUUCUUUAAACAUUUUUCCCUUGGACUGUUUGAGAGAAUCAGGAUUCACAUAUGUAAAUGUGCUUCUUUAUCAGGCUCCCAUAUACAACUGUGGCACCCUGUUGAGAUUUCCUUCAAUCUUCAAUUUCUUUGGUUUUUCCUCCUUUAGCAAUUUGUGUCUGGUAGCAUCUUUAUAGGCUAGCAGACUGCAGAUAUAUUGCUGCAUCCAAACUUCUUUUUAGAAAGGAAAGGAUCAAUACUGCAGCAUGAUCUCACAUUGGAUUACCCCUCACUUCAUCACCUAUUGAUAGGGUGGUGACUUGGGUAGAUUACUAAGCAGUUGCUGUGAAGCAAGUAGUACGGGGGAUUUUCUGUAUUAUGUUUUAUCUCACGUUUGAAAAAAUGACUCCCAGAGGAAUGUUAUUGCCGUAAGAUGUGUCAGCUCACACAGUGCCAGAUAAACAGCUCACUCUAUGGAAACAGCCUUAAGGCAAACACAGUUCAUAAAUACAAGCCUUGUACUUUGGACAAACAAAUCCAGCUCUGGGACCAGGAAAAAGCUCACCCUGUCCAUGGGAGACCAUCUGUGUUCAAGCAGGUAGAGUCCUCUCUCCUUGCCUUUUCUGGCUCCUGCAGAAGUUUCCCUCAACUUACACUGAUGGAAGAAGGCUUAAGAGAGAGACCAAACUGAACAGUUUCUGCUUUUUAUAAUCUUCCAGCACCUCUAUCAGAUGACCUCCCGAUCAGCCUCCACAGGUGAACAGAGACCCCUACCUGGCGUGAUGUAAAACGCCACCAUGUAAGGAAAUAGACUAAAUGGAUCAGCGGAAGAGUGUUUCAGGCUAUGAAAUGGAAGUAUUUCAG